rnacentral:rRNA from 1 species
GAUUUCUGGCUUGUACCAUUCGGCCGGCCACGGUUUCGUGUGUUAGUGCUUGGUGGUCUGGCCAUCCUUCCAAUCGCCGCUGUGCUCUUCUUCAUUGAUUGGUGCAGUUGGUAUUGGAUCUUUUACUUUGAACAAAUUAGAGUGUUUCAAGCAGGCUUUAUGCUAUGAAUACAUUAGCAUGGAAUAAUAAUUUAGGACUUCGGUUCUAUUUUGUUGGUUUCUAGGACUGAAGUAAUGAUUGAUAGGGACAGUUGGGGGUGCUAGUAUUCAGCGGCCAGAGGUGAAAUUCUCGGAUUCGCUGAAGACUAACUUAUGCGAAAGCAUU